rnacentral:rRNA from 1 species
UACGAAAGGGGCUAGCGUUGUUCGGAAUUACUGGGCGUAAAGCGCACGUAGGCGGCCUUGUAAGUUGGGGGUGAAAUACUGGAGCUCAACUCCGGAACUGCCUUCAAGACUGCAAAGCUCGAGGACGCGAGAGGUUAGCGGAAUUCCGAGUGUAGAGGUGAAAUUCGUAGAUAUUCGGAAGAACACCAGUGGCGAAGGCGGCCAACUGGCGCGUUUCUGACGCUGAGGUGCGAAAGCGUGGGGAGCAAACAGG